GGGCUGAGACCCUUCAUCAGGAAUAUGGCCCUUCAUCAUCACCAUUCCUGAUGAAGGGUCUCAGUCUGAACGUUGGGUACUCUUUUCUCACGGAUGCUGCCUGACCUGCUGAGUUCUUCCAGCAUUGUGUACGUAUUUUUUGAUCCACAGCAUCUGCAGUUGUAUUUUUGUGCUUAAUAAACAGAACUGGAAUAUAAGUUUCAAGUUUUGAUUUAGUUGUAUCUAGCAGUAUGCUGCAUGAAUUACUGCUAGGACCUUGCUAGUUCUCAAGCUAAACGGAGAAUAGGAUGAAGGAUCAAGUGCCAUAAAUCUAAGAGUCAAAGCUGGUAGCUUUAAGAGUUUGAAAGGAUGCAGAGAGGCUUCAGAAUUAUACAAACAGACUAAGCAGAUGAGGGAAGUGGUCAUCUAUUUAAGUAGAAAAAUGGAAAUGGAGAAUAUUUCUUAAACAGCAAAAAACUGAAUGGUGUUGGUGGCUAAGAAGACAUGGAUUUCCUUGCAGGUGGAUUAUUGAGCAAUAAUGUGCAGGUACAGCAAGCUAUUUGGUGGGCAAGGUAUUUGUUAGCCUUUGCUGCAAGAGAAUUUGACUCCAUCUCAUUAGGGUGCUGGAAAAUAUUCUUGCAGUAAAGGGAGAGCAAUGAAGGUUUACCACAGAUUAAGCAGAGGGAGCUAGAGACUCAAGUUUAGAAGAAUGCAAUUUUAUUGAAAACCUUUGAAGAUUAUGUUCCCUGGGUCAGAGUGUCUGUAAUAAAAUGGUCAUUUUGAGCAGAUUUAAAAUAAUUCAGUUUUUGGAUGUUUAGCUAUUCGCUGGAUAAGGCUUUGGUGGAAAAGAUCUGUCUGAAGGUGGAUCAGGUAUGAGGGGCGAAAGGUCUGUUUCUAUUUCUCACAUUCAAACAACAUGGUUACUUUUUGUAUGCUCAAUUUUUUUACCAAAUACAUCAAAAUGUUAUUUCCCUGGAACUGCAGUCCUUGCAUCCAGUAAUACAGUAUGGUCAAUGUCCAUGAUACCCUUUAUUCUCCAAUUGUAUUACUCUUAUGUUUGUGCUGUCCAAUAUUAAUGAGUGUCAUUCAUUCUGUUCUUUUUCUCAACUAGUUAAGUCUCGGGUAAUAGCAAAGUACAGCAUUUAAGGGCCAAACAGACAUUACAGAUGUUAAUACCUUGAUCUGAGCCCAGAAGAUUGAAGUUAUUCAAACUUGUCUUGCAUAGAAUUCAGGCAUAUUUUUUAUUCCAUUAAGUUAGAUCUGAAAUACAAUUCCAGGAAUGAAAGAAUGCUUAACCAUGUAACAACUGAUUUAUUUUUAAUGGUAAUGUAUGUUCUCACUAGGGAGAUAAGGUUAGCUGAGCAAUUGUGCAUAAAAUUAAAAUCUAUAUUCUCAGUUAUUUUAUUGACUGAUAUUCACAGAUUUUUGACUUCUGAUUACAGACAUGCAGACAUCAGCAAAGUUAAGGGUGGUUCUUUCCCAAGCUGUUGCCCUAAAAGUUUCACCUGGACAAACUGGUGAAAAUGUAAUUCCAUUUAUCUUUGAUCUGAGGACAAUGUGAUCCUUGGUCCACAUUUGGGGAUACUCCAUGUCAUCCUCUCUAGGUGACUUUUAAGCUAUGUGUUGGACACCAUUGUACUCUGCAGGAAUGCCUACAGGUUCUGUCUGAGGGCUCCCCUUGUUUCUAGCCCUGUGGAUUUUUUGUUUGUUUCUCCUUUUGAAGGUGGAACAGCAUGAAAGCUGUCGAUGGCUUGGACUGGAACCUCAUGUCAGCCAGACUGAAGAAGGAUGGUGAAAGAAAAAGGAAUAAUACUUUUGAAAUGAACAUUUCUCAUUUCAGAUGGGGAAAAUUACAAAGUUCACAUUGGGAGAAAGGCUCAAAAUAACUUCUUUGAAGUUAACGAAGAAAAAAUGGCUAUGGAUGACUAAUGCAAAUGUUGUGUUCUCAUACCUGAUAAGAAUAGAUAUUUGGUGAUCUGCGUGAUGAAUCAGAUGCAGUAGUGAGUGCUGGUAAUGUUGAUGUUGAAAGCCGAAUGUUGAUCUGGAACCUAAUGCCACUUCGUCAGAUGAUAUCACCAUGUUGUUCUCGUCUAGAUGAGAUCUAAGAACGGAUCCUUGGAAGCCAGCAGAAUUGAUUCAAAAUGUAUUCAAUUCACAAUUGCUGCCCGACCAACUGUGUAUUCACAGUGAUUUUUGUUUGUAUUUAAUUUUUAUUCUGCAGCCUUUUUGUUGUUGCAUUCAUCGUAUGUGCGGGGAAAGUGUCCAAUGAUGCCACAAAAUGCAUUUUGUUAAAAUGGCUGCAAAUAUUUUAGUUGUUCAUAAUUUUGUGCAGAUUGCAUUGACAAUAUGAUGAGGCUGAACUGGUCCCUGGCUUUUGUGUGCUGGUAAGGGAGCUUUUAAUGUGAAUAUGACUACCCCACUGACACCAGAACUCUGCAAAUGAUAAAACCAGUAAACCCUCCCAGCUUUUUCAGCAGCUACUGGACAUUUUUAAUAUUUUGAUAUUGCAGAUGGAAAGAUGAUACCAAAACUUGUGUACCAUAAGUUCAAGGUUAAUGACUUCAACCAUACAGCUAAAUGAAACAGUGGGGCCACGGUGCAUACAGUCAAACACAGCUCCUAUAGCUAUGAUAGAACAUACAGUCAAAACAAUACUAUUACACAAAUCAUGGAGCGACAUGACCUGAAGAUUGGAGUGCAUAGGAUGUUGUCUUGGAGUCAUGUAUCUGCAAGAUCAAUAAUGCUGUUGUUACUUGUCUCACGUUGUGUCAGCCAGAAGCAAAGGCAAUUCAGCUUGUCUUGCAGGGAGAGAGCACUGGAAAGCAGCACCAAUGGGAGGGGCCAGCCCACAAGCAUGGAUUCCAGUGUGCAUGCAGUGUCUCUUUUCUCUCCCACAUUGCUUCCGGCGCCUCCUCCCCGGGUGGCUGUAACAGGUGUUACCACCGAAUGAGGGUCAGAACUGUGUAACAUUCGAAGCUAUGCAGCUCUCCCACCAUAAAUUUUUUCCAAUAUACGAAUAAACCAAGUAACCAUAGCAGAAAACUGUUUUCAAACCCUUGCACUAUUGGUAGUGUAGUGGUUAGCACAAUAUUUUACAGUAGCAGCAGGCUGUAAGGAGUUUGUACAUCCUCUCUAUGACCAUGUGGGUUUCCUCCCACAGUCCAAAGAUGUACUGGUUGGUAGGUUAAUUGGUCAUUGCAAAUUGUCCUGUGAUUAGACUGGGAUUAAAUUGGGGGAUUGCUGGGCAGUGCGGCUUGAAGAAUCCUAAGGGCCUUUUCCAUGCCGUGUCUCAAUAAUUAAUUAAAAUGAUUCAAAUUGUUAUGUGCCAGCAUCCAUGUCUUUAUGUCCUUAUGGAUGCAUCUUUUAAACUUCUCCAUUAAAACCAACUCUUUCAAUUUGUCGUAAUCAUCAUUCACAUUUUUACAUGUGCACCAUCAUUCAAAACACAGACUUUUCAUAAGCAAACUCCACAUGAGUCUGGCUCACAGGUUUUCUCAAGUUCCUAAACCUUUGCCUAUAGACCUCUGGAACCAAUUCAUAAGCUUUAAGCACAGCCUAUUUUAAUGUCCCAUAGUCAGCUGCAUCUUCAACUGCUAGGGCAGAAUCAGCCUGCUAAGCCUUACCUUUAAUUACACUCUGCAACAUGAGAGGCUAGCACUCUCUUGGCCACUGUAGGCUCUGAGCAACUUUCUCAAAAUGCUGAAAGUAUUUUAUCAGCUUUGGCCUCAUCAAAUGGAGGAACCAAUUUAACUUCCAGACUGGCAACAAACAUUACCAGAGCCAGAAGUUGGACCUUUGAGCCUUAGCCUCUUUAUCUCAAACUGCCUUUGUCUUUCUUUUUCCUCAACCUCUAACUUUAGUUGUUCCAGUAGUAACUGGAGCUCAGGGUUAUCUGGUUUAUUUUCAGGAAACAAUUCUAACACCUCGGCUUCAAAUACACCCGUAAAUACAUAGUGCUCAACUAUUGUCCUCUGAAUCUGCCUUUUUCAUGGCCUGCUUUACCAUAAUAAGUUUUAGCUCAUUAGCAAUGGCGAACAACUCUGUCUGUUUGGCUUCCUCUAAUGCCUCAGAGGUUGGCGAUGCCAGAAAUUCAUCUGUAUCUAUUGCUGCUGGUUUCCACACACAAGUCAAUCAAAAGGGGAGUAAUCAGUCAAUAAGCCACAAUUAGUUCAAAUCCCAGAUGACGAGCCCCCAAUUUAUGUUAUGCACCAGACCACAACCUGAGUCAAGUUUUAAUGUAAAACAACUUUUUUAUUAGUGUCUACCCAAAAUACAGAAGAUUAAAAACUACUGUCCUAAAUGGAAGUUAAUCGUGUUAUGCGUUUGUGGCUCCCAAACUAUCAGGUUUAGGAACAGUAAAGUCUUAAGAUGGCAAGCUAGAAAAUUCCGGUAAUCCACGGAAUAAAUGGGAGGAGAAACUUGUAAAUCCACAUUAAAAUGUAACAAGGAGGUGUCCAUGAAGAAUUCUAAAGGUUCCAUGCUGGGAGAACAAGGUAACAGUCACAGAAGAUCUCAGCCGAUGAGUAGUGUUCUAAAAUCCAUGUAGAGAUAUCACAAGAUGACAGUCAUGGAAUACAACUUAGCACGAGUGGUCACCACAUAACACACCCAAAUCCAUGUAAUGGUUAAUGAAAAGUGUCACCACAGAGUAAUCCAGGAAUCCACAUAUGGAUUGUACAAAGUGACAAUCACUGAUCCAAUCUGCACUGUGUGCUGCUAAUCAAUCCAAUCCUUUGGGCAUGGGAAAGUAUCAAACUUCACCCAUCACUGUAGCGAGCUUCUGAAGCCUUAACCCUCUCCUUCAAGAAUGUCCCAGCAAUCUGUCUGCAUUUCGUUAUACUAACGUCAUCCACCCACCCUGUCCAGGAGUUUAAAGUGACACAGAAACGUUGACCAGUAACGAAAUAAAAUUGCAGUGUCAUUUGAGAAACUGUUAACCUCUGCAAUUGUUCACAAAAAGAUCUACAAAAUCACUGUUUUUGUAUAUUGACCAAAAAAUGGUCACAAAGGCUCAUCUCUUUAAGCAUGUUAUUUGUCCUGACUUUAAAUUUUUAAUCCAUAAAACUGCUUUUGAAAGAAUACAGCAUUAUUGAUAGGAGUUGGUGGAUGAGGGCAGGUAGGGGAAUCUUCUUUGAAGAUUGAACUGAAUAUUUUGUCUUCUGGAAGUUAAUUUGUUCUUAGUGGCCAAUGUUGGUUGCCUAUGCUUCACAGCAAAUUUUGAUUAGUUUUGCACAGUAGUGUGAAGAAUUGAAUGAGGUCUUUCAUAUCUACUCAGUUGUUGCUUAUUAGGGUGUGGUUUCAAUGGUGCUUGUCAUACUUUGAUAUCUUAUCCAUCUGUUCAUUCUUCAUAUUUGAAUCUAGCCCAUGAGAAACUACAGGACAAGUGGCCACGCGACUAGAUAUUAUUGCUCAGUUUAGUUCAUACACCAACAAUCACAUGUGCAUUUCCCAGUAUGCUUGGUAGUAUUUACACUGUCUCCUUAUCAACUUCAAUUGCACCUUUUAUUGUAAGCAAGUUUCAGCUCAGCGAUUCAACAAUUAAUAUUUUAUUUAGUCAGCUGUUGCUCCUUUGUAACUUAACAGGAUGAACCAAUAGGUAAUCAAAAUAGACAUGAAGCAAGUUGAAAUAAGAGUCUUGUUAUUUCAUAAAAUUUCUGUUUCAGUUAAAUAUUCAAGUUAGAGCUGGAAAAACAUUAAUUAUGAACAUUACUUCCUUAAUGGUUUUUAAAUGCAUGUGUUCUUAAUACUAGCAUUACCUGUAGCUGCAAAUAUUGCUAUAAGGAUUAAAAUGUUCCCGGUUUGAUCUUUUAUAAACAAGACUGGAGUUAUGUAGAGAUCAUUGUUCUGCAGAACUUGGAGCAAACGUAACAUUCAUCUAUUGUGGACAGUUCCCUGAUGCUGCUUGGUUUGUCAAGGUACAUUGCCAUUUGACUGGAACUUUAAUUCAAUUAACUGUUGAAAGCUGGAUUAUUGUCUUCAGUAUGUGCCUCCAACUUAUUUCCUCACAAUGGGUCUAUCCUUCUCUCCUAGAAAGUCCAACACCAAGGCAAAUUGUAUAACUGCCCAUCUAACCCCAUGUUUGUUCCAUCACUUAAAUGGUCCUUGUCUCUGUCCAUCUCUAUUGUAAAGCCUUCAGCUUGCCUGCAGCAGAAACCCUCGUGUAUAUUGAUGCAGCCUUUAUAAACACUGGUUCUUGUAUUCUUGCAUGCAUGACCAUUGUUAACCCUUCAUUGUCCCAGUCUUGAUUUACAAUGUUUGAGUCCAGCAGAAUUUCACUGUUUGUGUCUUUUGGUGUUGCUUUUUCUUGGCCACAACGUCAGAAUAGAGGAAUACCCAUUUAGAUCAGAAGUGAGGAAAAUUUUCUUUAGUGGUGAAUCUGUGGAAUUCAUAGUCUCAGGCAGCUGUGCAGGUCAAGUCAUUGGGUAUAUUUAAAGUGAAGAUUGAUAGUUGCUUGAUUAAUCAGGGCAUCAAAGGUUAUGGGGAAAACAUAGGAGAAUGGUGUUGAGAGGGAUUGUAACUCAGCCCUGCUGGAAUGGAGGAGCAGACUUGAUGGGCUGAAUGACCUAAUUCUGCUCCUGUAUCUUUUGGUCUUAUUUCUAUAUUCUGCUCCAGCCCUGUAACCCAGACCGCUGCAAUCCUCAAUUCCAGUCUCUACAGCUGAUUUCACUUCGUUCAUUAUGCUAACGUUCCUAAUCGUUGACAUUUUUAUUUCUCUGAUUUGUAUGACAUGUCAUAUUUCAUGUUAAAAGCAUUUUUAAAAAGAUUAUUUGUUUGUCCUAAACAGCUGGGUUCUCUGUUGUUCUUACUAAAUUCCACUUAAACAUAUCCAUUAUGAACUAAUCACCAUGAGAACUUUGGAAUUUGUUUAGAUAUUAAUUUAAUAAUUGUGAAUGGCUACUAAAGAACAGUAUUAUCUUUGCUGUUUGUGCAAAUGAUCAACUUGCUAAUAUUGUCAAGCUGUGACUUAUAGAUUGUAAAGUGACACAAGCUCUUUGUAAAUGCCUAUGCUCAUAAGAUUCACCAUAUCAUUCACUUGUCUCUGUAACAGAUCUAGUGUUUUCAUAAGUUGCUCGUGUUUAAUUUUGCACUUAACUUUCAUUUUGGCCAGUCUUGGCAUAUUGUGGACAAAUGACCUCUCAUUUUUUAAAUACACAGAUUCUAUUUUCAUGGCUAAAGGUGCUUUUUAUUAUUAUCAUUCUGUGACCAGCACUCGUGGCCUGUUUUGUGUACCUCAAAUUCACCAAUGUCUCUGCUGACUUGGUUCUGUAUUGUAGAGACGGUCUGAAUAGUGCAAGUGUUUUGUUUGAAAUUUGAAAUCACAAUGUGCAGAAUAACAGUAAAAAAAAUCCUGCUACCUCAGCUACAACUAAGGUGUUGCAUCUUUUACUUGUGUGUCUCUGUUACUUUGCCUGUCGAUGUAACAUUUGUUGAUUUGGGAAAUUGUUUGGGUCUGUUUGACAAAAUGGGUUGACUACAAGUAAUUAAAAAAAAAGUAAGCUUGUGCUAACAGGAGAUAGUUGGUUUUAAUAUGUAAUGUCCUAUAGGUGGUGUUCUUGUUUUAAAAUUCAUAUUUUUCUUUCAAACCUAUCAUGUCUCAUAAUUUUCUGAGACUGGGGAUUAAACUCGUUCUAUGUAGAUGGUACAUUGUAAUUUUAAAUGUUUUCAGUUAUUCAAGUUGCCUCUUUUUAAGUUCUUUUCCCAAAUAUCCAUUCCAUUUUCCAUUUCAAAAAUGAGCAGAAAACUGAUAAAUAUAAUAUGCAAGGUGUGCUAUUUAUGUGCUAUGUGGAGUCAAUAGAGUAAUGUUUUGUGAGCUGUUUAUUUUUAACAAACAGUGAAAUAUAAGAUUUUUGUGAAUUAAAUUUAUUUUUGGAAUUAUA